CCUACGGGUGGCAGCAGUGAGGAAUAUUGGUCAAUGGACGAGAGUCUGAACCAGCCAAGUAGCGUGAAGGAUGACUGCCCUAUGGGUUGUAAACUUCUUUUAUAUGGGAAUAAAAUGUUCCACGUGUGGGAUUUUGUAUGUACCAUAUGAAUAAGGAUCGGCUAACUCCGUGCCAGCAGCCGCGGUAAUACGGAGGAUCCGAGCGUUAUCCGGAUUUAUUGGGUUUAAAGGGAGCGUAGGUGGAUUGUUAAGUCAGUUGUGAAAGUUUGCGGCUCAACCGUAAAAUUGCAGUUGAAACUGGCAGUCUUGAGUACAGUAGAGGUGGGCGGAAUUCGUGGUGUAGCGGUGAAAGGCUUAGAUAUCACGAAGAACUCAGAUUGCGAAGGCAGCUCACUGGACUGCAACUGACACUGAGGCUCGAAAGUGUGGGUAUCAAACAGGAUUAGAUACCCCAGUAGUC
rnacentral:rRNA from 1 species